rnacentral:rRNA from 1 species
CAUAAGCCAGCUUGACUGCGAGCGUGACGGCGCGAGCAGGUGCGAAAGCAGGUCAUAGUGAUCCGGUGGUUCUGAAUGGAAGGGCCAUCGCUCAACGGAUAAAAGGUACUCCGGGGAUAACAGGCUGAUACCGCCCAAGAGUUCAUAUCGACGGCGGUGUUUGGCACCUCGAUGUCGGCUCAUCACAUCCUGGGGCUGAAGUAGGUCCCAAGGGUAUGGCUGUUCGCCAUUUAAAGUGGUACGCGAGCUGGGUUUAGAACGUCGUGAGACAGUUCGGUCCCUAUCUGCCGUGGGCGCUGGAGAACUGAGGGGGGCUGCUCCUAGUACGAGAGGACCGGAGUGGACGCAUCACUGGUGUUCGGGUUGUCAUGCCAAUGGCACUGCCCGGUAGCUAAAUGCGGAAGAGAUAAGUGCUGAAAGCAUCUAAGCACGAAACUUGCCCCGAGAUGAGUUCUCCCUGACUCCUUGAGAGUCCUGAAGGAACGUUGAAG